GGAAGAGUAACGCGGGGACCCCUGCCUGAUGGAGGGGGAUAACUACUGGAAACGGUAGCUAAUACCGCAUAACGUCGCAAGACCAAAGAGGGGGACCUUCGGGCCUCUUGCCAUCAGAUGUGCCCAGAUGGGAUUAGCUAGUAGGUGGGGUAAUGGCUCACCUAGGCGACGAUCCCUAGCUGGUCUGAGAGGAUGACCAGCCACACUGGAACUGAGACACGGUCCAGACUCCUACGGGAGGCAGCAGUGGGGAAUAUUGCACAAUGGGCGCAAGCCUGAUGCAGCCAUGCCGCGUGUGUGAAGAAGGCCUUCGGGUUGUAAAGCACUUUCAGCGAGGAGGAAGGUGGUGAACUUAAUACGCUCAUCAAUUGACGUUACUCGCAGAAGAAGCACCGGCUAACUCCGUGCCAGCAGCCGCGGUAAUACGGAGGGUGCAAGCGUUAAUCGGAAUUACUGGGCGUAAAGCGCACGCAGGCGGUUUGUUAAGUCAGAUGUGAAAUCCCCGGGCUCAACCUGGGAACUGCAUUUGAAACUGGCAAGCUAGAGUCUCGUAGAGGGGGGUAGAAUUCCAGGUGUAGCGGUGAAAUGCGUAAAGAUCUGGAGGAAUACCGGUGGCGAA
rnacentral:rRNA from 1 species